AAUAAGCCAGUUAAGACAAACCUGCAGCCAAGGAGAUGGAAUGCCAUAGUACGUGUACUCCUGAGGAACGUCCUGGUUCCUAGCAAGACGUUCCAGUAUUUUGACACAUUUAGGUAGACAACUUGAGUACGCCUCAUGAUUAUUAGAUACCAGAGCCACAAGAAGACUUGUAGAAGAUGUCAACACACCAAGAUCUCGUUCAUCCAAAAGUUGUGCCAUACGAUCCGCCCUGAAAGUAUACGGCAAUGAGAAUAUAUAUAAAAGAUGUAGGAGAAAAAUCAAACAACCAGUAACCCCAGAGUAUUAAACAUACCAGCCAUCCACGUUGACAGCAUCAGGAUUUUUACGGAAUAAGCGCAGUAGGCAUAGUGCUGCUUUUUUCCUUACGAGAGGUCUACAACUACUAGAAAUCUGCAGCAAACAAGCUCCAUAAUAUUAAUAUGAUUACUUCUAUUGAAGAAAACCCAUAACCUGUCAUCUUUAGGAGUUACUUACAAGUAGCUUUUGAACAUCAGGUGCCAAUGAUUCAGAAAAAUCUCUUCCACCAAUAUUUCCAACCUACAGGACGAAGUAAGCAUUGCAUGGUAAGAGAGCAUAAAAGGAAGCACCAGUUUAUUGAAGUAAAUGACUUUGAAUCGUGAAAUGGUAGAGCACAAAAGAUAUAAUGUAUCCAACGACUUCGAAUAAAACAGUCAUUUAACUGCAUCUCAUCAUUAGAAAGACCUCAGUAUGCUCUCAGAUUUAAUCUCAGAAUAGAAAAACGAUCACAUACCAAGGUCAAUGCUAGGCACUGGAAAGUCUCAUUCCGACCAAUAAUAUCGUUCCGCACUGUAUUUAUUGCCAACCUCAAAAAGUCAUGGUUCUCAUUGAGCAAGCAAGAUGUAACAAUGUAGCCAACCUGUAAUCAUUGAUGGAAAUUUUAAUACCAGCAACUUAGGUAGGGAGCAUAAAAGAAUAAAUUAAAAUUCAAACCCUUGGGAUACAAUGCAUGGUUAAGAGUACCUAAGAUAUUACUAAGUAACUCAUGCGUAUAAGCAAAUGACUCCAAUACUUAACCAGGUCCAGUCAAACUGCAUAAGUUCUAAGCACGAGAAAUAGUAACUAGAUCUAGCUUUCCACUAUAUCUAGCUUUGACAACUAGACUUGAAUCAAACAAAUUCCCCCACCUAUACUCUUCUCCUAGCCUUCGAAGCAAUAUUUCAUUUCUUGAGCAAACAAAACGAUGGCUUACCUGCUUUUCUGGAUACUUUGGUGCAGAUAUAAGAGAAACUGCCUCCAUAUGGCCAAAAUCCACAUCAUAGCCUAGCAUAUGUAUAUAAAGCAUUUUCCAGACAUAUUUCUUCUUUUUAUAUGGUGUCAAAACCUGUAAAAUGAAAAAUAAAAAUGGAGAAAGAUAUCAAAGAGUGCAUGAUUAACUAUUUUAUUCAUUUCUACAAUGAAACUCAAAAAUAAACCUGGUAUUGGUACAACUGGCCACACAUGGACACUACAGGCCGGCUACAGAUCUUCUACUUAGGGUAUGGAACCAACAUUUUACCCAAAACGUCUUACAUCAACACAGCUUACUGAACUACAGAAUUCGCUAUUCCAAUCUUUCAGUAACCUUGAUUUCUUUCCUUAGACCAUUACUACAUAACCCAAUUUACUGCCUGGCUAUUAUUUCCUUCUAGUUCCAAAAUAUGCUCAGAUAUUCAAUGUUCUUAUACAAUUUCACUGAUCACUCGGAAAAAGAAUUAACAAGUAGUAGUUUAUUGUCUCCCAUCUAUCAACUUGAAAUACACAAAUGACAUUCCAAGUAGAAAGCAGUAGUAGUGAUGUUUCAAAAGGUAGAAUAAUGGCUAAUCACCAAGGAUUAUACAACAGAAACAUUAUACUGCCAUUCCAGGUACAUAAUUUGUGUUAAGUAAAAACUUCACACUGAGCAACUCUGGUUUUCCCGAUUAGAAAAAUUCGGGGAAUCUUGAUUCAACUACAUUCUUUUCUAACUUCCUCAUCAACCUAAUAGCUCUAACUGAUUCUAAGUGAAACAAUAGAAUAAGGUAGCUGCAAAGGAGAAAUCUCUAAUAUCAAUAUAGAACCUCAGCGGCUACUUGGACACUGACUUAUCUCUCCCAGUUGAGAAUAAGAGAUAGAAAACAAAAAAGGGAGGUAAUUGACACAAACCUUCUCAUUCUUGAAGCAUGUGCGUAUGUUUCCGAGCUCUUUAUCAACUCGGAGUCUCUCCGCUUCCUUGUUCUGGCAAUUACGAAUGUCACUAAUAAAUACGGAGAGACCUCUCAUUCCGCUCAUGGUGGAGCCGAAUCCUUCAAAUCCGCUGCCGCUUCACACGGCGCAGAUCCAAACUCGCGAUACCAGAUCUAACUACGACGUAAACCCGUAGACUACAGAUGAAACAUAAGCAAUUCGCGAAAGCUGAGAUCGAAACCCUAAUCUAGAAACGGGAAAUGGCACCUCCAAUUGGAAGAAAAUUCAAAAGCUGAGUGAUCUGAAGACGACGACGAUCUCAGAAACGGGGAGGAGUGAGACGACGACUUUUACUUUUCUUUAUUUACAACUAUGACAAUCCAAUUUUGUUUAAUUUUGUUUUAGACAAUUUUGGGUAAACCUAUGGAUUUCGAAAAUCCGAAAUUUAUGCGUCUAGGCAUUGGGACUGAAUUUGAGAAUUUAUAAGUUUGUGUACUAUUUUGUCAAAAAAUCGUCUUCUGCUACUUUUUUUGGGUAAUAUUUUUCUGUUUAUUUAUUUAAAAUUACCGUUUUCGCUCACGGUAAAUGCAGAUGGUAUAUUUUAGUGCACAGUGGGAUAAUCGGUUGUGAAUUCGGGUCAUGCCGUUGGUGUUUUAUUCAAAUUUGACGCAAGCUCAGAAACAUCCCGAAUCAAUGCCUGUUAUGAUUUGUGAAACCAGAAAUUGAGGCAACAUUGCAUGUCAUGGAGACAUGAUAUGGGAUGUAUAUGGCAAUGACAACAACAAAAUGGUUGAAGGCUAGCUAUACUCACAGGAGAUGAUAGUAACCAGUGCAAUGGAUAUAGAGAUUACAUGGAUGCUUCAAGAAAUAAGGAUAACCGAAACACUCAAGGUGAGACGAUGGGACAGAGCACACCCUUCUCUUAAUGACAAUACAAUUCUGUGUCGGAUAUGUAUGCUUGGGAUUGAGACGAUAUUGUACACUUCUUUAUGAAGUUUGGAACAUCUUUGUAAAACCUAGUAGUCAUAUGAUUUGAUGAUUAUAAGUAUGAUAUGACUAGAUUAGAAUCUCUAGUGCGAAAAAUAGACCUUCUCUCACAUAAAUAAUGAAGAAACUGAUUGAGAAUAUGUAGGAACAAGAAAAAAGCUUAUACAACCACUGACCUCACAAUACAAAUGUGCAGAAUGAACGCAAAAUUUUGUAGCUAACUCAACUCGCCCGCUUCGGAUAACAGGCACAAAUAUGAUCAAAAACUAGCUUUCUAUUAAACCCUCCCCCUCCUCCCUCUCUCUCCAUUUUCUCUACAUUUACUCUCCGAUCAUUCCAUAUUUUCAACAUUACAUUCUACAAUAACGGAAAAAAAAGAAAACUUUCGACAUGUGCAAGUAAUAUCUUACCCCGAUCAAUUUAAAGUAAGCCAGCAAGUAGAGCUCCAGGAUCAUCAGCUAAAUUCGCUGGGCUAGGCGGUUGAGCUACAGGUGGUGCUGGUCUUUGUCCUGCUGCUGGAACAAUAGCUCGAGAUCCCAUUGGUAUUGUAAUAAGCUGUUCCUUGAUAAAUUCUUUCAAUCUGUACAUAAAAGAAGUCGGUCAACAACUACAGAUGAAAACAAGUUGUGUCUGAAGUUGAAGAGGCAGAAAUGUCAUACUCAAAUGUAAGGGAAGGAUCCCCAGAGCCUACUGUCAUCCUCAAUUGGGUUCUGUCCGCUGGGUCUGUUUCUAUUCUUGCCUGAAAAUUACAAAACACGAACAAUGUCACACAACAGACUUUUGAGAGCGCAGUAUUAUGUGUAUGUAUAAGAAAUUUAGGACAAGUGCCAAAACCAGUAGGAGAAACUUAGUUCUCACCAAACAGAGCAUGGCUCCUGUACUUUCUGAGUAGAAGGUUGUGCUUGCCACUAGAUUAUUAGGGUUUGGAUCCUACAACAGAAAACAAUACAAGUUAAUUUAAAGGUGUGCAACAAGCAUGUGGGAUGAAAAAAACUGAGAUCGUAAACAAAUUACUUACAAGCCCAGGGCAUAUCGUCACAUGGAAACUGUUGAAAAGGUUUGCCAUUUCCGGAAGAGCAAGAGGUCUUACACCUCUAACCUGCAAGACAUUGCAGAUUCGGAUUAUGAUACAUGUUUAAGUAAUACCGCAUUAACAAGCAUAUGUAGAAGUGUUGAAAGUCAUCUAUCAACAUUUUGAGUGACAACAUUUUGAACGAAUCAUCAAUGGAUAUCGGAUGCUAUCUAUAAGUGCUGUGAUUUAGCAAGAACGAUCAUUAGUCUGUUACAAGGAUUUUACGGAGAAAGAGAUUUCACUAAUUUCUUGGAAAAAAAUGUUAGGAUCAUUUUUACUUCUCUCAUGCACUACUCAAAUACUUGUAUUUGAUAUUUGGUCAGAUAAGCUGAGGAGAUACAUACAACUUCCUGAAGUUUCAAGGGUGGCCCUGAAAGUGCUCUCCACUGUGGGAAGAACUCUUCAGAUGUCAAUUGUAGAGGUUGAAGAAACUUAUUCAAGGUUGCUGGGAUGCGUAAUUUGGCACUGACCUAUAAAUAUUCAGCAUAUCAAAAAGAGGCACAGAAACUAUUAUACCAAAACCAUUCACCAAAAAAGAAGGUAGCAGUAAGUACCACGUUUGUACCAAACUUGUAGGAGAAAUCCAAAACCGCAACAUCUCUACUAGCGCGGAUGUUCAUCACUUCAAGUGGAGAUUGUACCUAUAACCAUGAAAUAAAUUGCAACACUUAGUAUACACAGAAAUGAGUGGAAAUUGACGGAUUGAGUAAUAAAUUGAAAAAGAAAAAAACAACAAACAAAAGUACCUGUGCUCGAGGAGGAAUUGUAUCAGGUACUGGAGACAGAUCUAAUUUUAAAUGGGCAGGGGGUAGUAUCAGAGCUUGGACUGAUGUAAGUGGAGAAGUAUUCUUGUUUCCCAUGAAGAGAACAAGUCUCCCAUGGUGUCCUCUCCAUUCAGCUUUGAUGCCAAUCUGAGGAUACCAACAAUCAACAUAACGUGGAACAUAAUAAAGCUAAAAAAAAAAUAGGAGCCUUUCCUGUCUGCAAUCUGCGUACUAGAAUAGAUAAAAGCAGCGAGAAAAUAACUGAGAUUAGAAAAAUAAACCUGGAUAUGAGGAUCCUCAUAUAAGACACCACUGUCUUUCAAACAUAAAGCAUGAAAUCUCUCGGCAAUAUUUCCGAUCAGCUGUUAAAGAAAACAAAAGUGUAUAAGAAAACAAUUCUAGCAUGUCAAUAGUACUAUGAUGUACAAAAAUGGUUUGGUUUCAUUUACUGAUAUCAACUGUAAAUCUAUACAAUGUUAAUUACAACAAGUCCAUCAAGUUUAGCACCUGUAACAUUAUUAUGUGAAAAUAAAAAUCUAGAAACUCCUCAGAGAGUAUUAUGUGAGAAGAACUUCUCAGGUAAAUUCCAUCUAAGUAAACAUUAUAACAUUUCCAAGUAAUAAAUACAAAUGAGGUAACAGAACGGAAAAAUGACCGAUAAUUUAAAAACAUAGGGAAAUAAUUAUCUUGAAGAAAGUAGCAGUAUAAUUCUAUCCAUGCUAAGAUAUACUAUGCUAAAGAAAGCAAAGGAAGAAGAAAUACCUCCACUGAAUUUGGUUGCUCUUCAACAGGUACAAUGGCGGAACCAUCAACUUCUUCUAGAACUCCUUCUGCCCCUAUGGGACCAUGAUGUUCAGUUGAGACAACUCCAGGUGGAGCCUCUAUUGCAAGAGGACCGAGCAGGUCGCUAAGGAGAUCGGGUGAUGGAGUUUGUGGAUCUAUAUUACUUAAAGUUCCAUUAGGCUGAGAGAGAGAUCGAGCAAGUGAAUUGGGGUCCUGCUAGACAAGUAAGGAAAAACAGACUGUGAGAGAUAAUAAGAUAAUAGUAUGUGCUAUAUAAGACAGAGCACACAAAACAUGACUCAUUCGGGGCCUACAAAGAGAAGUAUUCACCAUGCUUCCACUAACAAUUGGAACCUUCAAAGGUGGGGGUGCCCCGUUAACAGGCUGUGGGUCAGCCAAAACCAAAGCAUUUGAAGGCUGUUGUUGUGCUCUAAGCUUAAUGGCACUCUGGUCUGCGGUGUCUUCAACGUCUUCUGCCUUUUUGAUCAAUGAAGACUAUGGAAGAGACACAGAAAAAAAACCAGCAUUAGAUCUAUUAGCACAAACGUCCUUUCAAAGUAACUCAUAGAGUCAUAAAAUGUUUUACAAACCUGGCGCUCUGGAAAUUUUGGCAUCUCAGCUAAUACAUCCAUAAAGGCAGCUCCUUUUUUACUCAACUCAAAGUAUUCAACUGCCCUCUGUUGUAUUUCUACAUCAAUACAACUCUCAUACCUGCCAAAACAAAUUUUUUUUAGGAAAUUCGAUUGGAUUACCAGAAAAUAUAAACAGAACAUAAAAUAAUAAGCAAAAUAUUGGGAAGGACAACAAGGUUUGCAAGUCUCACUUCUUAAAUACAGCCCAAAUUCUUUUUUGCAGUUCUGGAUCGGGGGGUUGAGUGUGCAUAAGAAGCUUCGCAUAUGUGGAAAGAAGAAUAGGAAUGGUGGGAGUCCUGAGAAAAGAAAAAGGGAAAAGAGGAAGCAUUUAAGACAUACCCAAAGAGAAGAAGAGCACAAUGCAGCAUUUGUGUUGCCCUUACGAUACUGUGGGAAGCUUUUCAUGUAAGAUGCUAAAGAGUUCACUUGCACUACAUCCAGGUUGUCUAGCUAAAAGGUGACCAUACUCCCCCAAAAUAUAAGCACUGACCUGAAAAUUAGAAGAUAACCAAUAUUUUGGUAUUAAGCAUUCUUAUUUUGUACUUUGCAAACAAUUUAGAUACAGAUAUAACUGUAUCAGAAUGUGUAGCAAGGUAGUAGCUCUAAUUCCAAUUUAAAUUACAUUAUAAUUUUUCAGCAAUAUGCAAUAUAGAGAAUGUGUUAAUGGGAAGCGAGAAUGCACAACCUUCACCAUGGUCUCAUGUAUUGCGAUUUUGUCCAAAUAUUCUCUUGCUUUUGAUGCGGCGUAUGGCUGUCAUAUAAAAAACAGUUGUAAGCUUUCUGAGUGUCAUGAGUAGGAUAAACAAUAUAAUUUAUCCUAAAAAAGUUUUUAAACCUGCAGGUCUUCAUUAUUUGUGACAAACUGAACAACACGAAACCAAAUAUCAUCGCUAACAAAAUCCCCAGCCUUGUCGAUCAACUGAAGGAUCACAUCUACAUACCUGAGAACAUCAAAGUUAACAUCUCAACCAGUUGUUUGUGUAAGGAUCUAAAAAGUGACACCAAAUGGCCAAUGCAUGUCACUGUAACCAAAUUGUGUGCAUGAAAAAGGUGUGCAUAUACUUUUUUCGAGUUCUCCUUACCAUGAUAGAUCAGGAGCAAACUUCUCAGCUAGGAUAGCAGCUUUAAGUGAUAAUUCCUCCCGCAUAGAAAACUCUGCUGUGCUAAGAUACUGCAAUGUAUUUUUAGGUUCCAUGUAAGCUUAAACACUACACAACUUAAUCCUUCCUUUCUGUUAAACUUCACAAGUCAUAAGGAGAUUACAAAUCAAGAAAAUAUCAAUAUGAAGCAAGGUCAAAGAAUUACCUGCAACAACUCUUCGACUAUAUCCUUUGCAUUUGACACAUCACACAUCCCAUAUAGCAAAUCAAGAGCUCGUCUACGAAUACUGCAGAAAGUUUCAACCAAUAGUGAAUCUGAUACCAUUAGCAAAAGAGCCAAGAGAAUAUAAAUCAAACUAUUUAUUCUUGAAACAGAAGCCACAAUUUGCAACGGGAAUAGGAUUAAUACCUAAUGGACUUAAGAUAAAAAUAAUAGAGCUAUGACUGAUUUCAUGAUUAAAUAAAUUGUUGUUCUGGUUCCAAACUAGAGCAUUGAAGAGGUACUGAUCCGGGUUCACAAGCCAUAAAAGCUGAUGCUGAAAUGGAAAAUCUAAACUAACCUGAUGUCAGGGUCUUUCAAGGAGGUGAUUAUCUGAGACUGAUGCUUUUUUAUGAUAUCUUGAACAUCUGUGACCAUCAGCAUUCGUGUCAUAUUUUCCUGCAAUGUUUUCAAUACAUGCAUCAUGAGAAGCCACAUAGUGCACCACCAAACACUUUACAAGUUACUGUUCUAGCUAGGCUUAGAUACAGGAAGUGGGUAUCUGAGAUCUUANNNNNNNNNNNNNNNNNNNNNNNNNNNNNNNNNNNNNNNNNNNNNNNNNNNNNNNNNNNNNNNNNNNNNNNNNNNNNNNNNNNNNNNNNNNNNNNNNNNNNNNNNNNNNNNNNNNNNUAACAAGUUAGGAGGUUGCACACUAAGCCAGAGAUUGUUGAGCAAACUCACAACUAUCCAUGAUAAACCUCUAAGAAAUAGUGUCAAACCUUCACGCAGAGCAAGUAAUAUUAUUUACGUUCAAACAAGAAUAAGAACCGACAAAGAAUUCAAACACACGAAGUUUCUCCAGCAAAGCCAAAAAAAUAUUUUAAAAUAUUCAAGCACACAUUAGUAUUCUGUUUUGAGUAAAUGUGAUUGAACCAGAAGUUAAGGAGGUGUAAAGAGGAAUGGGAUAGAGAUUGGUGCACUAGUAAAUUUCAUGGCAUCAAAUUUUUCCUCAGCUGUUUCACGAACUUACCAGGGAUAGAGCUUCAAACAGAACAGCAUGAGAUGCAUUGUUCUUAUUCACAUUUUUUACAACAUCUGUUCCCAUCAAUAUUCGCUGAAGGACCUGAAAUUUCCAUGAAAUGUCAUGAGAGAGAAUUCAAAGACUUUUUUUAAAGAUUUACACAAGAAAAAAUGAACCUCAAAGAGAGCUUUUCUGGUACUGGGAUCUUCAAUGGUUGGGAAAUAUUGAAGAGCCCUCAUUGCCUUAACCUGUACUAAUCACAGAUAUAUAAGUAUCCAAGGUACCUUUAACUGAGCAACAAAAAUACACCAAAGCUGGGUCAAGCCUCUUUAUAGGCUUAUUUCACAUAAAAUGUUUAAAAGCAGGGGAAUGGAAAAAGAUGUGACUAAAAAAAAUACAGCUAUGUUAAACAAGACUAAAUAAGCUGGGUUAAGACAAACCUGCAGCCAAGGAGAUGGAAUGCCAUAGUAUGUGUACUCCUGAGGGACGUCCUGGUUCCUAGCAAGGCGUUCCAAUAUUUUGACACAUUUAGGUAGACAACUUGAGUACGCCUCAUGAUUAUAAGAUACCAGAGCUACAAGAAGACUUGUAGAGGAUGUCAAGACACCAAGAUCUCGUUCAUCCAAGAG
rnacentral:lncRNA from 1 species